UACGAAGGGGGCUAGCGUUGCUCGGAAUUACUGGGCGUAAAGCGCACGUAGGCGGCUCUUUAAGUCGGGGGUGAAAUCCUGGAGCUCAACUCCAGAACUGCCUUCGAUACUGAAGAGCUUGAGUCCGGGAGAGGUGAGUGAAACUGCGAGUGUAGAGGUGAAAUUCGUAGAUAUUCGCAAGAACACCAGUGGCGAAGGCGGCUCACUGGCCCGGUACUGACGCUGAGGUGCGAAAGCGUGGGGAGCAAACAGG
rnacentral:rRNA from 1 species